GACGUAGGGCGCGAGCGUUGUCCGGAUUUAUUGGGCGUAAAGAGCUCGUAGGCGGCUUGUCGCGUCGUCCGUGAAAACCUGCGGCUCAACUGCAGGCUGGCGGUCGAUACGGGCAGGCUGGAGUUCGGUAGGGGAGACUGGAAUUCCUGGUGUAGCGGUGAAAUGCGUAGAUAUCAGGAGGAACACCGGUGGUGUAGACGGCUCACUGGACCGUAACUGACGCUGAGACACGAAAGCGUGGGUAGCAAACAGG
rnacentral:rRNA from 1 species